rnacentral:rRNA from 1 species
AAUAGAUACCCGGGUAGUCCACGCCGUAAACGAUGAGUGCUAAGUGUUAGAGGGUUUCCGCCCUUUAGUGCUGAAGUUAACGCAUUAAGCACUCCGCCUGGGGAGUACGGCCGCAAGGCUGAAACUCAAAGGAAUUGACGGGGGCCCGCACAAGCGGUGGAGCAUGUGGUUUAAUUCGAAGCAACGCGAAGAACCUUACCAGGUCUUGACAUCCUCUGACAACCCUAGAGAUAGGGCUUCUCCUUCGGGAGCAAAGUGACAGGUGGUGCAUGGUUGUCGUCAGCUCGUGCCGUGAGAUGUUGGGUUAAGUCCCGCAACGAGCGCAACCCUUGAUCUUAGUUGCCAUCAUUAAGUUGGGCACUCUAAGGUGACUGCCGGUGACAAACCGGAGGAAGGUGGGGAUGACGUCAAAUCAUCAUGCCCCUUAUGACCUGGGCUACACACGUGCUACAAUGGACGGUACAAAGAGCUGCAAGACCGCGAGGUGGAGCUAAUCUCAUAAAACCGUUCUCAGUUCGGAUUGUAGGCUGC